CAAGAUACUACAAAUUGGGUGGCUAGAACAGCAGGUGCUACAACAGGCACAUCCGUGAAGCAUACAGCAAAGCUGAAAGACAGGCUACAUUCAUCCAGACUCGAAGACUGGUCCCCAAGGCCUAGUGCAGAAAAUUAACUUGUUGAUAGUCAAGCAGCUGGCCACUGGAAGAGUUGGGAUUCAAACAUGCUUACUUAUCCUGAAACUCUGACAAUCGUCAGUGCUGUCAAGCCAGAAAUCAGCCUGAAACUGUAAGCCCCAUUUUGUGGGAAAACAUGUUUACAUACUUUCACACUUCCUUCCUCAGAUCCUUUUGGACCACAAGAAAGCAUUAUAUAACUGAUUAUAAAUAAACAAGUCAUGUUAAUAAAUUCACAUUCACACA